GACGAACGCUGGCGGCGUGCCUAACACAUGCAAGUCGAACGGAGAUUUCAGUAAUGGAAUCUUAGUGGCGAACGGGUGAGUAACGCGUAGAUAACCUGCCUUCUAGAUGGGGACAACACUGCGAAAGUGGUGCUAAUACCGAAUGUUGUAUUGAGAAUGUAUAUUUUUGAUACUAAAGAUGGCCUCUAUUUAUAAGCUAUCGCUAGAAGAUGGGUCUGCGUCUGAUUAGUUAGUUGGUGAGGUAAUGGCUCACCAAGGCGACGAUCAGUAGCCGGUCUGAGAGGAUGAACGGCCACACUGGGACUGAGAUAUGGCCCAGACUCCUACGGGAGGCAGCAGUGGGGAAUCUUCCGCAAUGGACGAAAGUCUGACGGAGCAACGCCGCGUGAGUGAAGAAGGUUUUCGGAUCGUAAAACUCUGUUUUCAGGGACGAAUGUGCGAUGUGUAAAUAAUGCAUUGUAAUGACGGUACCUGAGUAGAAAGCCACGGCUAACUACGUGCCAGCAGUUGCGGUAAUACGUAGGUGGCAAGCGUUGUCCGGAAUUAUUGGGCGUAAAGCGCGCGCAGGUGGGAUAUUAAGUCUGGUGUUAAAGUUCGGGGCUCAACCCCGUGAAGCAUUUGGAAACUGAUAUUCUUGAGUGCAGGAGAGGAAAGUGGAAUUCCUAGUGUAGCGGUGAAAUGCGUAGAUAUUAGGAGGAACACCAGUGGCGAAGGCGACUUUCUGGACUGUGUCUGACACUGAGGCGCGAAAGCUAGGGUAGUGAACAGGAUUAGAUACCCUGGUAAUCCUAGCUGUAAACGAUGGGUACUAGGUGUUGGGGGUAUUGACCCCUCCAGUGCCGGAGUUAACGCAAUAAGUACCCCGCCUGGGGAGUACGGCCGCAAGGUUG
rnacentral:rRNA from 1 species